rnacentral:misc_RNA from 1 species
UCCGGCUUAACGCCGGCAGUCUCCUUAGAGUGCCCAACUGAAUGGUGGCAACUAAGGACGAGGGUUGCGCUCGUUGCGGGACUUAACCCAACACCUCACGGCACGAGCUGACGACAGCCAUGCGGCACCUGACCACAAGUUCCCCGAAGGGCACAUCGACCUUUCGACCGACUUCUUGUACUUUCUAGCCCAGGUAAGGUUCUUCGCGUUGCGUCGAAUUAAACAACAUGCUCCACCGCUUGUGCGGGCCCCCGUCAAUUUCUUUGAGUUUUAGCCUUGCGGCCGUACUCCCCAGGCGGAGUGCUUAACGCGUUAGCUUCGGCACCACGAGGGUCAAAGCCCGUGACACCUAGCACUCAUCGUUUACGGCGUGGACUAC